AAUUAUCAUAUGGGCGUAUAUCCAAAGGAACUGAAAGCAGAGACUUGAACUAUGUCCUAUACCCAUGUCCACAGCAGCAUGACUCCUAAUAACCAAAAGGUGGAAGCCAGCCAGCCAGGUGUCCAUCUGUGGAUGAAUGCAAAACCAAAACGGGGUAUACACUUACAGUAGAAUAUAGUCAGUCUUUGAAAAGAAGGAAAUUCUGAUAUGCACUGCGAGCUAUAUGUAUCUUGAAGACUUUGUGCUAAGUGAAAUAAGUUAGUCACAAAAGGAGAAUAUUCUUUGAUUCCACUUAUAUGAGGUACCUGGAGUUGUCAAACUAAUAGAAACAGAAAGUAGGUUGGUGGUCUCCAGGGCCUGGAGGGAGGAGAAAUGUGGAGGGGCUAGUGUUUAAUGGGGCCAGAGUGUCAGUUUGGGAAGAGGAAAAAGUUCUGGAGAUGGAUGGUGGUGAUGGUUACACAACAAUGUAAAUGUACUUAAUGCCGCUAACUGUACACUUAGAAGUGGUUAAAUAGGUACAUUUUAUGUUAUGCACAAUAAAAAAAGGAAACAACAAGAGAAAGAAUCAGCAAGUUCAAAUAAUGGUAUAAACUGGUUGCAGACUCAAUCGUCUUUUGUUGUGAGUGCUGAGGUGGGUUUCAAAGGCAGAGGGUGGGGGUUCUAGCAGACAUGUUAUGAGCUUUUGGGGGGAAGUGGGUGAGAGGGUCUUCUGGAGUCAUGCCUGCCCUGGCAGAAGGUUCCCUAUCUGAUUCCUAGAGGCUGACCACUAAGGAACCCUCAGCUCAACUCCUCUGUCUUCCAGGUGGGUCUGGCCAAUGGGAGGUGUGUGCGGGUGGUAGGCGGGCAAGAGAAGAACGAGGUCAGGGUUCCUCUUCCUGCCUGUUUGGCAAUGGCUCUGGUCCUCUCCUGCCACCACAUCUCACACUAAGCAGCAAUGGGAGGAAGGGAAGGAAAAGGAAGGCUUACUGGAAGUUUCCCACACUCUGCUGCUAUAUUUCCUGUGGUAAGAACCCAACUGCCUGAGGAGACCAGCUGCGGCUUUCUGGAUACAAGAAGCAGAUCCACUCAUGGUCACCCCCCCGGGAGAAGCCAGGGAUGGGACGGAACCUCAAAGUUCCAAAAAGGAUGUGAAGUGGCUUAUCAACACCGCACAGCUAUUGUAAGACUGAAGAGUAUCAAACAACAAAAACAAACAGUAUUUAGUAAAAGGGGAGCAGAGGAUAAAGAUCUUGUUCUGAAGACAGUUGGAGCAAGUGAACCUGGUACUCAGCUUGACUGUCAAGACAAGAGGAAGACAAAGUGAGAAGACAAAGCCACUUUAAGAACGCCUUUAAAAAAGGAUGUCAGUUUCACAGGAGAAAGCCACUUUUUCCGGCUCUAAGUUUUAUGAGGAAUAUGUCUUUAGAUCCUCAUAUGAGGAGUGCUGAACAUGUUAUAAAAUAUGAGAAACAGGCUUAAUUGGAAUGCUUCUCCAUAUGUGCUGGCCAUGGGUGUUGAUGGCAAGAUCUAUUAAAAUAUUAAGGGUUUGGGGUGGGGAGAGAAAGAAAGGGGGAGAUAGAGAGGAUAUGAAUAAGAAUGCAUUUUUAAUGUCAGGAAGAAUAGUGUCCCAAAGUGUUAUUUCACCGUGAUGAUUAAAAAAAUAAAACGUGAGGGGUGCCUGGGUGGCUCA
ensembl:lncRNA